GGGGAAUUUUCCGCAAUGGGCGAAAGCCUGACGGAGCAAUACCGCGUGAGGGAGGAAGGCUCUUGGGUCGUAAACCUCUUUUCUCAGGGAAGAACACAAUGACGGUACCUGAGGAAUAAGCAUCGGCUAACUCCGUGCCAGCAGCCGCGGUAAUACGGAGGAUGCAAGCGUUAUCCGGAAUGAUUGGGCGUAAAGCGUCCGCAGGUGGCAAUGUAAGUCUGCUGUUAAAGAGUGAGGCUCAACCUCAUAAGAGCAGUGGAAACUACAUAGCUAGAGUACGUUCGGGGCAGAGGGAAUUCCUGGUGUAGCGGUGAAAUGCGUAGAUAUUGGGAAGAACACCGGCGGCGAAAGCGCGCUACUGGGCCGGGACUGACACUGAGGGACGAAAGCUAGGGGAGCGAAAGGGAUUAGAUACCCCUGUAGUC
rnacentral:rRNA from 1 species